GAGGGUGUAGCUCAAGUGGUAGAGCUGUGCUUAGCAUGCACAAGGUCCUGGGUUCAAUCCCCAGUACCGCCU
rnacentral:tRNA from 1 species